rnacentral:lncRNA from 1 species
AGAAGAACAACACCCUUCAAGUUGCUACUUGCUUUUAGCCUUACGUCUCUUUUUCUCUUCCAUGUUUUCCCCACACAAACACUGUAAAAUUCCAGGAAUUGUACAUUGCAGCUUCCAUAUUCAGACCUAUUGCUCUUUUGGGAGUAUGUACUUGCUCUGAAAAUUCUUCUAUUUUACUAUGAGGAAGAAGAAUUGCUUGGAAGUACAAUUAAAUAGAAGAAAACCUCAGGAAGUAGCCUUUUUAAGGGUACUGGGCACCCACCUGCAUGUCUUAUGGCAGAAGUUACAGGGCAGAGACCUGUUGAUCACGUGCCUUCCCUAUCUCUUAUCUAUCUAUACUCAUCCUCCUUUCACCCUCCCACAAAAAAUGAUGGAACAAUUAUGUGAACUCUUUUAUUAUUCCAGGUUCUCACUAUAAAAAUUGUGAAAAGAUCAACUAAAUAAUAAAUAAGAAAAGACUGUGAGAUGCUGAGGAAAAGUGCUGCAUUUAUAGAAAGUGCCAUGUUAUGAUAUUUUUUUCCCUACAAAACACUCUGCACUGCCAUAAAAUACCCGAAGACUUUAGUAAAAGUGUUAGUUAUUUCUGUACACCUCUCUGGGAAUAUUUGUAGGUGUUUCACCCCUUUUAUUUUUCUCUUUUCU